GACGAACGCUGGCGGCGUGCCUAAUACAUGCAAGUCGAGCGGACUUGAUGAGAAGCUUGCUUCUCUGAGAGUUAGCGGCGGACGGGUGAGUAACACGUAGGCAAUCUGCCUGUAAGACUGGGAUAACUACCGGAAACGGUAGCUAAUACCGGAUAGGUGAUUUUCUCGCAUGAGGAAGUCAAGAAAGACGGAGCAAUCUGUCACUUACGGAUGGGCCUGCGGCGCAUUAGCUAGUUGGUGAGGUAAUGGCUCACCAGGGCGACGAUGCGUAGCCGACCUGAGAGGGUGAACGGCCACACUGGGACUGAGACACGGCCCAGACUCCUACGGGAGGCAGCAGUAGGGAAUCUUCCGCAAUGGACGAAAGUCUGACGGAGCAACGCCGCGUGAGUGAUGAAGGUUUUCGGAUCGUAAGGCUCUGUUGUUUGAGACGAAUGUGCCUGUUUCGAAUAGGGAUAGGUAAUGUCGGUAUUAAACGAGAAAGCCACGGCUAACUACGUGCCAGCCGCCGCCGUAA
rnacentral:rRNA from 1 species